rnacentral:rRNA from 1 species
GACGCGGCGUACGGGUGCGGAACACGUGUGCACUGCUUUAUCUGGGGGAUAGCCUUUCGAAAGGAAGAUUAAUACCCCAUAAUAUGUUGAAUGGCAUCAUUCGACAUUGAAAACUCCGGUGGAUAGAGAUGGGCACGCGCAAGAUUAGAUAGUUGGUGAGGUAACGGUCACCAAGUCUACGAUCUUUAGGGGGCCUGAGAGGGUGAUCCCCCAACUGGUACUGAGACAUCGGACCAGACUCCUACGGGAGGCAGAGUGAGGAAUAUUGGACAAUGGGUGAGAGCCUGAUCCAGCAUCCCGCGUGAAGGACGAUGCCCUAUGGGUUGUAAACUUCUUUUGUAUAGGGAUAAACUAUCUCGUGAGGGUAGCUGAGGGUACUAUACGAAUAAGCACCGGUUAACUCCGUGCCAGUAACCCGCGGUAAUACGGAGGGUGCAAGCGUUAUCCGGAUUAUGGGUUAAAGGGUCCGUAGGCGGAUCUGGUAAAGGUCAGUGGGUGGACAAUCUCCACAAGUUUUAACCUUGGUGCAAAACUUGGGCCNAUUGGAAUACUCGGCAGGGUCCUCGGACAGUGGUCAGGCCGCACAGUAAACUNGGACAU